rnacentral:rRNA from 1 species
GAUCAGAUUGUGGGCUGCAACCCGCCUACUUGAAGUCGGAAUCGCUAGUAAUCGCAGAUCAGCAUGCUGCGGUGAAUACGUUCCCGGGCCUUGUACACACCGCCCGUCACACCAUGAGAGUCGGGAACACCCGAAGCCUGUAGCCUAACCAUUCGGAGGGCGCAGUCGAAGGUGGGUUCGAUAAUUGGGGUGAAGUCGUAACCGGUAUCCGUAGA